CAUGCACUGGUGGGGUCCCUUGGCCUGGCCUGUGCCCUCUCGCAAUCCGGGACCCUCGGGGAUGUCGGAGAGCCAGUUUUGGCCCAAUCCCCACAGGCCAGGCCAAGGGACCCCACCGGUGCACA
rfam:Myotis brandtii contig197339, whole genome shotgun sequence.